CAUGCCUUACACAUGCAAGUCGAACGCGAAAGUGUCUUCGGACAUUAGUAGAGUGGCAAACGGGUGAGUAACGCGUGGGAAUCUACCUUAUAGUACGGAAUAGCCUCGGGAAACUGGGAUUAAUACCGUAUAUUCCCUUCGGGGGAAAGAUUUAUCGCUAUAAGAUGAGCCCGCGUCAGAUUAGCUAGUUGGUGGGGUAAAAGCCUACCAAGGCAACGAUCUGUAGCUGGUCUGAGAGGACGAUCAGCCACAUUGGGACUGAGACACGGCCCAAACUACUACGGGAGGCAGCAGUGGGGAAUAUUGGACAAUGGACGAAAGUCUGAUCCAGCAAUGCCGCGUGAAUGAUGAAGGCCUUAGGGUUGUAAAGUUCUUUAAGUGGGGAAGAUAAUGACGGUACCCACAGAAUAAGCACCGGCUAACUUCGUGCCAGCCGCCGCGGUAA
rnacentral:rRNA from 1 species